GAUGAAGAACGCAGCGAAAUGCGAUAAGUAAUGUGAAUUGCAGAAUCCAGUGAAUCAUCGAAUCUUUGAACGCACAUUGCGCCCGCCAGUAUUCUGGCGGGCAUGCCUGUCCGAGCGUCAUUUCAACCAUCAAGCCCCAGGCUUGUGUUGGGGACCUGCGUCCGACGCAGGCCCUGAAAACCAGUGGCGGGCUCGCUGUCCACACCGAGCGUAGUAACUAACCUCGCUACGGGAGCGGCGCGGGCGCCUGCCGUAAAACCCCCAAUUUUCACAAGGUUGAACUCGGAUCAGGUAGGAAUACCCGCUGAACUUAAGCAUAUCAAUAAGCGGAGGA
rnacentral:misc_RNA from 1 species